rnacentral:lncRNA from 1 species
CCCUGGCUCUCAAGCAAGGAGCAGAGGUGGAGCUCCUGAGGUUCAGAGAAGGGAAGGAGUUUGCCCCAAGUCACACAGCAAUUGGAGGCAGUGCAGAGGCUAGACUCCAGGGUGCCCCUGUGGUCUGGCAGCAGGAUGGGGGAGGCAUAAACCACUUCUGCCUCCUGAGCAACCCCUGCAGGUGGAGCCUUGUGGUGGGGGAGCUGAGGGGCAGGAGCUACACGGGGGAAGUGGAGGAGAGGCAGUAGUGUGCUGGCACGCCCAGCUCCUGAGACAUGUAGCCCAGCACGGAGAAGAUGGCAAAGCCAGCCAGGAUGCUGGUGAUGGCGUUGCCCAGAGUGACGAUGAAAGUGUCUCUACCAGAAGAAGUCCAGGAGGCAAAGGUGAGGAGCCCCCCGAAGCCCACACCCAGGGAAUAGAAGAUCUGAAGAGCAGCUUCAAUCCACACCUGUGCCGGGAAGGAUGGAAAGGGAGGGUGUGCGGAUGGUCAAGGACAGAGAAGGAAGGCAGUGAAUGAAGAUGGUGUGACAGCUCCAGGGAUGGCGUGGUCACGAGGGAUGGCGUGGUCAUGAGCCUGGCUCACAAGUGACGUGGACCAGGAGCAAAGCCUCCCCCAACAUUUACACGGUGGGACAUGGGCAAGUCCCUUCCCCUCUGCGGGCUUCAGUUUCCCACCCAGGAUCUAGAAGAUGGUCUCUAAGCUUGGUCCAGUUCUGAAGGACACAGAGCCUAAUGUAAAGUGUGCAGGAGAUUUGUAUUGGCAGUAAGCCUGCAUAACCCCUUUACUUCCUUUCUGGAAUCCUGGCACCUGGAUUUGGACCCCAGCUUCACCAUUUUCUAGCUGUGCAGCCUGAACAAGCCAGGUCACCCCUCUGGACCGCAGGAUCCCUAUCUGUAACGAGGGGAUAGGAAUAGUGCCUACUUCAUGGGAGGAGGGUGGGUUAAAUCACUACACACAUGCAUGUAAAACACUAGGGCAAGGUCAGGCACAGUCCCCAGUCAAUAAAUAUUAACAUUAGCUGUCAGUACCAUUGUUAUCACCAUUGUCACUAAUGCCCUCCUUGGGGUUUACAGUCACACAAAUCUGGGCUGGGAUCCCUGUUCUUCGAUCCCCUAGCUGUAUGACCGUAAGCUUGAUAAGAACCCUUUUGAGCCUCAGUUUAUUCCUCUGUAAAAUGAGGAUAGUGUUUCCAUGAUUGUUAAUAAUAAUAAAUGAAGUAUAAUAUGCAGUUAGUGACAAUAUAUCGUAUUCUUGGAGAAUGCUAAGAGAGUGGAUGUUAAGUGUUCUCACUACAAAAAUGAUAAUUAUGUGAGAUAAUACAUAUGCUAAUUAGCUAGAUUUAACAGUU